rnacentral:rRNA from 1 species
CGGGGUAACGGCCCACCAAGGCGACGAUCAGUAGGGGUUCUGAGAGGAAGGUCCCCCACAUUGGAACUGAGACACGGUCCAAACUCCUACGGGAGGCAGCAGUGAGGAAUAUUGGUCAAUGGGCGCGAGCCUGAACCAGCCAAGUAGCGUGCAGGAAGACGGCCUAUGGGUUGUAAACUGCUUUUAUGCGGGGAUAGGUACCGCAUGAAUAAGGACCGGCUAAUUCCGUGCCAGCAGCGGCGGUAAUACGGAAGGUCCGGGCGUUAUCCGGAUUUAUUGGGUUUAAAGGGAGCGUAGGCCGUCUGUUAAGCGUGUUGUGAAAUGUCGUGGCUCAACCGGGGCACUGCAGCGCGAACUGGCAGACUUGAGUGCACGGUAGGAAGGCGGAAUUCGUCGUGUAGCGGUGAAAUGCUUAGAUAUGACGAAGAACUCCGAUUGCGAAGGCAGCUUUCCGUAGUGUAACUGACGCUGAAGCUCGAAAGCGUGGGUAUCGAACAGGAUUAGAUACCCUGGUAGUCCACGCGGUAAACGAUGGAUGCUCGCUUUUAAGCGGCCAAGCGAAAGCGCUAAGCAUCCCAC